AUUUAUACAAUAAAUGUUCAUUCAGUACUUACUCUGAACCCCAUGCUACUGAGUAGGACGUAUUUCUUGCCCCUCAAGGAGCACACAGAUGUGUGAAUGGACGAUGCAGUGUCUGUGGGGAAGACAAUUCCAAGGACAAGACCAGCGUGCUGUGAACAUUCCGGAUCUAGUCCUGGACCUGUUGCAGAGCUGGGAUGGGUCAGGGUCCAGUUUCUUAGGAAGGGCCCCUGAGAAGGCUUCCAUGCGCUAAGAGAGAGGAGUCAAAAGGAAAGCCAAGUCAGAUGCCAGGGAGCAUCCCUGGGAAGGGUUCUGGCAUGGCCACCUCCCAUGGCCAAGCCCCUGGAGUGGGAAACCACAACAGAAUCCCCACCAAAGUUUUGAGAUCUGAGCAAAUGGGGCUUUGAGGGGAGGAAGCAAGAUCCCUGAGCUCCCCAUCAUGGCUCAAGUGUGAAGGCAACAUGGCAUGGGUGUCUGCACACGGACCAAGGCCCCUUCAAGGGUUCCUAUGAGCAAGACAUGGAGUGGAGAGCAGAAAGAUGGUCUCUUAUGCCAGCCAGAGCAGCAUGAAGUAGCAAGGCCUCCAGAAAGCCCUGCUAAGUCUUCUGAGGCCACAGAGGAAUACAGGAGAAAAUGGAGCAUUUCCAGUGUUGCAAGAGGAAUGCCAAAGGAUCAGUGGAUCAACUCAGGAUAACCUCCACUAUGAUAGAAAUGGUGAGAGCAGACAUCCUUGUCUUGUUCCUGAUCUUAAGGGGAAAGCAUUCAGUCUUUCACCAUCAAGUAUGAUGUGGUGAACAUUCUUGAACAAGUCUUUUAAGGACUGAGGUCUUCCUUUCUAUUGAGUAAAUACCUCGGAAUAGAAUUCCUGGAUCACAGGGUACGUAUAUGUUCAACUUUACAAAGAAUUGUCAAGCUAUUUUCCAAAGUGGCUUUUGUAUCCAACCAUCUUUUAAAUUUUUCUUGUUACAUGUUAUGUAUCAUUUCAGUGAGUUUUGGAAACCAGGAAGGCCCCCAAACUGUGGGCUUCUUGUUGUACCUUAACUGGAAGUCUUCUCAGUGAUAGACUCAACACAUCUGCAACCCUCAAGAAGUUUCCAAGGGGGG